GAUGAAGAACGUAGCGAAAUGCGAUAAGUAAUGUGAAUUGCAGAAUUCAGUGAAUCAUCGAAUCUUUGAACGCACAUUGCGCCCGUCAGUAUUCUGGCGGGCAUGCCUGUUCGAGCGUCAUUACGCCCCUCAAGUCCCCUGUGGACUUGGUGUUGGGGAUCGGCGAGGCUGGUUUUCCAGCACAGCCGUCCCUUAAAUUAAUUGGCGGUCUCGCCGUGGCCCUCCUCUGCGCAGUAGUAAAACACUCGCAACAGGAGCCCGGCGCGGUCCACUGCCGUAAAACCCCCCAACUUUUUAUAGUUGACCUCGAAUCAGGUAGGACUACCCGCUGAACUUAAGCCUAUCAAUAAGCGGAGGA
rnacentral:misc_RNA from 1 species